CGUUAUGAGGAUGAUGAAGAAUGUACUUAUCAAUGCACCUCAUAUCAAACAUUUCUUGUCGAAACAGUUCACCUCCGACAAACCAUAUACUACUCAAGAAAUUGACGAAGUUAGAGAAGAAUGGGCAAUGUCAUUUUUACAAUUGGUUAGAGCAAAAUGAAUGAUGUUAUAGCUAGCUAAUUACAAUACAUGUUUAGAAAUUUUAAAUUUAUUUCGUAAAAUUUUUUUGCCAUUU